AAUAAGAGUAUUUUUUAGUUUUUUGAUACAAUAUUUUAACUCUUCAUCUUAUUUAGAAUAUUUUUAAUUAAUAUUUUUAUUCUUACCAGAUGAUAAAACACGAACAGUACUUUAUGCGUGACUAAUUUUUUUAAGUUUUUAUAUAAAUUUUUCAAAUAAGACGAAUGGUCAAAUGUUGAACACGAAAAA
rnacentral:pre_miRNA from 1 species